rnacentral:lncRNA from 1 species
UUUAAAUGAUGAUUUUCGAAUUCCAUCAUUAAAAAUGUGAGUCGCACAAUUUACAAGAGCAUAAAUUGGAUUUGCAAAUCAAAACCUAAAACGGAAAACAUGUUUCUUAACAAGAAUAAAGACUGAUAAAAUACAAGAGACUCUUUUACAGAUGAAAGUAAAAAAAACAACUCUUGUCCUAGCUCUAGAAUUCACGUCCUUGAAUGGUCACCAUGAGAAUGUCAAAGAGCAUCGCGCAUAACCUGCAAAAAGAUGACAAUGUCAAUAUGUGAAUAAGAGAAAAUGAUAUUUUAAUGACGUCGCUUCUUAUAAUAAAAUCGAGGCGACGAUACAUGCCCCACAAUCCUUAUUACGGGAUUUUAGUAUUUCGCAAAAAUUUUAUCAUAAGAGAAAACAUCAUUAAAAUUAUCAAUCCACGGCCAUCAAUCGAAUGUCCACUUUUAUUCCAAAAGUUUCGUAUGCAAAAGUGUUAUUGAUUUUUGAAAAAUUGAUUUGUGAUUUUACUCAUAGAAAAUUAGAGUGAUUUUUAUUUUGAGGAAUUUGUACACAAAAUGAUUUGCAUUAUAGUCCCAAAAUGCGAGAAUGAGAAAAUUUGAUAAAAAAUGCAAUUUCAAUUUUUGUGUCCCAAUAUAAUCACAACUUGAAAGUUUUUUUUUCUUUCUUUUUUUCGAAAUGAUUUUGAGCCCAUAACUAGAAAUUUAAACAGAACCAUGUGUUCAACAGGGCCAAAUCAAAAUGUUUAGAACUUGCAUUCAGAUGCUCACUUGUCAAAAGUGAUUCUCAAUUUUUCAAUCAUAAGCUUGCAUCACCGAGGGCAUUCGAUUGAUUUCCGCAAAUUUCAAGAUGAAAAAGCAAUACAAAAUGAGCAAAUAAAAAGGGAAAUGAUACUUACAAUGGGUGCCGACCUUUGUCUCAUGCUUUUUUUCAAAAUUACAUAGACAUGCACAUGGAAUGUGGUUCGAUUUCUACUCUACACGGCCCAAAGUGGAGCCAUGGGAUCACCGGACUAAACCAACAAGGUCGUGGCUGGGUCGGGUUACCCAUGACUCCGGCUUCGUCAAAGAACCGACCCAUGUCGCACGGUUGCAGACCAGGGUGGGUAUCUUUGACGUGAAGAAAGAAAUUUCGGGGUUAAGGUGGGCGACUCGUACUACGCGAUUGUAGUCGGAGUGGUAUCCACCUCAACACCAUCCUAAGUGAUCCUAUGCGGCCCAGGUCCGGCGGCAGGUUGUGUGUGCCAUGGUGUAGUGCAAUGCAGAGAAUACAUGCACAACAAUUUAUAGGCAAACAACACUCCGUACAUAAAAAUAAACCAUACAUUCCUACAUUUCCCUGCAAGACAAAGGUGAGCAAACACUUCCCCUUAUAUCUCCCAUUCUGUAAGAACAUUUAACACC